GGCCUUGUAGCUCAGUUGGUUAGAGCGUUGGCUGUACUAAAGCCUUCUGCUUGCUGGUGUGGGUUCGAAUCCCACGAGGCCC
rnacentral:tRNA from 1 species